rnacentral:rRNA from 1 species
AUUGAACGCUGGCGGCAUGCCUUACACAUGCAAGUCGAACGGCAGCACGGAGCUUGCUCUGGUGGCGAGUGGCGAACGGGUGAGUAAUAUAUCGGAACGUACCCAAGAGUGGGGGAUAACGUAGCGAAAGUUACGCUAAUACCGCAUACGAUCUCAGGAUGAAAGCAGGGGACCUUCGGGCCUUGUGCUCCUGGAGCGGCCGGUAUCUGAUUAGCUAGUGGGUGGGGUAAAGGCCCACCAAGGCAACGAUCAGUAGCUGGUCUGAGAGGACGACCAGCCACACUGGAACUGAGACACGGUCCAGACUCCUACGGGAGGCAGCAGUGGGGAAUUUUGGAUAAUGGGGGCAACCCUGAUCCAGCAAUGCCGCGUGAGUGAAGAAGGCCUUCGGGUCGUAAAGCUCUUUUGUCAGGGAAGAAAAGGGAUUGGCUAAUAUCUAGUCCUCAUGACGGUACCUGAAGAAUAAGCACCGGCUAACUACGUGCCAGCAGCCGCAGUAA